rnacentral:rRNA from 1 species
UCCACAAGGGUUGGGCCACCGGCUUCGGGUGUUACCGACUUUCGUGACUUGACGGGCGGUGUGUACAAGGCCCGGGAACGUAUUCACCGCAGCGUUGCUGAUCUGCGAUUACUAGCGACUCCGACUUCAUGAGGUCGAGUUGCAGACCUCAAUCCGAACUGAGACCGGCUUUUUGGGAUUAGCUCCACCUCACAGUAUCGCAACCCUUUGUACCGGCCAUUGUAGCAUGCGUGAAGCCCAAGACAUAAGGGGCAUGAUGAUUUGACGUCAUCCCCACCUUCCUCCGAGUUGACCCCGGCAGUCUCCCAUGAGUCCCCACCAUCACGUGCUGGCAACAUGGAACGAGGGUUGCGCUCGUUGCGGGACUUAACCCAACAUCUCACGACACGAGCUGACGACAACCAUGCACCACCUGUAUACCGACCCCAAAGGGGAAGAACCAUCUCUGGAACGAUCCGGUAUAUGUCAAGCCUUGGUAAGGUUCUUCGCGUUGCAUCGAAUUAAUCCGCAUGCUCCGCCGCUUGUGCGGGCCCCCGUCAAUUCCUUUGAGUUUUAGCCUUGCGGCCGUACUCCCCAGGCGGGGCACUUAAUGCGUUAGCUACGGCGCGGAAAACGUGGAAUGUCCCCCACACCUAGUGCCCAACGUUUACGGCAUGGACUACCAGGGUAUCUAAUCCUGUUCGCUCCCCAUGCUUUCGCUCCUCAGCGUCAGUAACAGCCCAGAGACCUGCCUUCGCCAUCGGUGUUCCUCCUGAUAUCUGCGCAUUCCACCGCUACACCAGGAAUUCCAGUCUCCCCUACUGCACUCUAGUCUGCCCGUACCCACUGCACACCCGGGGUUAAGCCCCGGGCUUUCACAGCAGACGCGACAAACCGCCUACGAGCUCUUUACGCCCAAUAAUUCCGGACAACGCUUGCGCCCUACGUAUUACCGCGGCUGCUGGCACGUAGUUAGCCGGCGCUUCUUCUGCAGGUACCGUCACUUGUGGCUUCUUCCCUGCUGAAAGAGGUUUACAACCCGAAGGCCGUCAUCCCUCACGCGGCGUCGCUGCAUCAGGCUUUCGCCCAUUGUGCAAUAUUCCCCACUGCUGCCUCCCGUA